AUUGAACGCUGGCGGCAGGCCUAACACAUGCAAGUCGAACGAGUGGCGGACGGGUGAGUAGUGCCUGGGAAACUGCCUGAUGGAGGGGGAUAACUACUGGAAACGGUAGCUAAUACCGCAUACCAUCAGAUGUGCCCAGAUUGGAUGAGCUAGUUGGUGGGGUAAGGGCUCACCAAGGCGACGAACCCUAGCUGGUCUGAGAGGAUGACCAGCCACACUGGAACUGAGACACGGUCCAGACUCCUACGGGAGGCAGCAGUGGGGAAUAUUGCACAAUGGGCGAAAGCCUUAUGCAGCCAUGCCGCGUGUAUGAAGAAGGCCUUCGGGUUGUAAAGUACUUUCAGCGGGGAGGCGUUACCCGCAGAAGACGCACCGUCUAACUCCGUGCCAGCAGCCGCGGUAAUUC
rnacentral:rRNA from 1 species